AUUGAACGCUGGCGGCAGGCCUAACACAUGCAAGUCGAGCGGGGUUUUCGGACCUAGCGGCGGACGGGUGAGUAAUGCGUAGGAAGCUACCCGAUAGAGGGGGAUACCAGUUGGAAACAACUGUUAAUACCGCAUAAUGUCUACGGACCAAAGUGUGGGACCUUCGGGCCACAUGCUAUCGGAUGUGCCUACGUGGGAUUAGCUAGUUGGUGAGGUAAUGGCUCACCAAGGCGACGAUCCCUAGCUGGUUUGAGAGGAUGGUCAGCCACACUGGAACUGAGACACGGUCCAGACUCCUACGGGAGGCAGCAGUGGGGAAUAUUGGACAAUGGGCGCAAGCCUGAUCCAGCCAUGCCGCGUGUGUGAAGAAGGCCUUCGGGUUGUAAAGCACUUUCAGUAAGGAGGAAGCGUUGAGUGUUAAUAGUACUCAGCGUUGACGUUACUUACAGAAGAAGCACCGGCUAACUUCGUGCCAGCCGCCGCAGUAAAAC
rnacentral:rRNA from 1 species